rnacentral:rRNA from 1 species
AUGCUCGUAGUGUCCCUGUCAACAAACACACUCAAGUUCUAUGCUCCAGCAACUGGACAGUAUUUGGGGGAAUGCACAGGCCAUAAGGGGAGUAUCCAUGAGAUUGCCUUUUCAGCUCUGUCUUCGCUGCAAGUGAUAUGCUCUUGCUCUGGUGAUGGAACUAUCAGAGCCUGGGACACAAGGAGCUUCAAGCAGGUCCCCCCUACCACUUUGUGA